AACGAACGCUGGCGGCAUGCCUAACACAUGCAAGUCGAACGAGAUCUUCGGGUCUAGUGGCGCACGGGUGCGUAACGCGUGGGAAUCUGCCCUUUGGUUCGGAAUAACAGUUGGAAACGACUGCUAAUACCGGAUGAUGACGAAAGUCCAAAGAUUUAUCGCCAGGGGAGGAGCCCGCGUAGGAUUAGCUAGUUGGUGUGGUAAAGGCGCACCAAGGCGACGAUCCUUAGCUGGUCUGAGAGGAUGAUCAGCCACACUGGGACUGAGACACGGCCCAGACUCCUCCGGGAGGCAGCAGUGGGGAAUAUUGGACAAUGGGCGAAAGCCUGAUCCAGCAAUGCCGCGUGAGUGAUGAAGGCCUUAGGGUUGUAAAGCUCUUUUACCCGGGAUGAUAAUGACAGUACCGGGAGAAUAAGCUCCGGCUAACUCCGUGCCAGCCGCCGCAGUAA
rnacentral:rRNA from 1 species